UACGUAGGGACCGAGCGUUGUCCGGAUUCAUUGGGCGUAAAGAGCUCGUAGGCGGCUGCUCAAGUCGAAUGUGAAACCUCGAGGCUUAACCUCGAGCCUGCAUUCGAUACUGGGCGGCUAGAGUCUGGUAGGGGGAUCUGGAAUUCCUGGUGUAGCGGUGGAAUGCGCAGAUAUCAGGAGGAACACCGGUGGCGAAGGCGGGUCUCUGGGCCGACAUUGACGCUGAGGAGCGAAAGCGUGGGGAGCGAACAGG
rnacentral:rRNA from 1 species